rnacentral:rRNA from 1 species
UUCAUGGUGACGUUGAAGCUGGACAUGGUCAGCGGCCACCGGUUGACCGCGCUGUGCGAGAUGGAGGCGUACCGGGGGCUGGUCGGGCUGCGGCCGCUGGACGGCCUGUCGACGGCGCUACGAGACAAACUUAUGCGGCUUGUUCACUUCUUAAACCCCUCGUGAAAUAAGCUCGACGAGAGUCUUCGAGAACCCGAGUUUGGCUCGAUGAAUUGACUAUAUCUCACGUUGGUUCCUGUCUAGUAUGAGACGGUAAUAAUAGGAGGCACGGGUGUCGGACUUGAGCGGUAGCCCUGUUCGGCCGUAAGUCUGAGACCGAAGGAGUGGUAUGAAGAGGUUCUGCUUUAGCCACCGGAGGUCUAGGAGGUGCUCCUGGUCACCCAUCUGCAGUGCGGUUGUGGACCUCGUAAGUAGCACUUGUAGCCGCUAGAGAAUGUCGACUAGAGGUUGCUGCCCAAGUCCUCGCACCUCGUAUCCCACCACCGCUUCUUGCGGUGCGGUUCCCAGAGUUAGCGCACGAAGAAGUCGUGCGUAAAGGUGGGACGGAGAUGCUCUUACAUACCAGGCUAGUUCCUCGACGACAGGCUACUCUUAGGUGGCAACAUGUCCCUCUGGGAGCAGUCUCUAAUGUAGUUUGUAAUGAUGAGGUAGCCCAAUCUACGCUUUUGACGAUAGAGACUAAAGGCCAACACUUAACACUUCCUCUCGGACACAGGACUACCAUAUGAUAUCUGACAUAGUUACAUGGACCUUGUAACUAUUCAACUCGUCAAACAUUACUAUUUAUUCACUGUCAUUUUACCUUCAUGUUCUCACUAAUAUAACACAUGUACACCGUGUCUUCCCGUGAUCAAACCACGGGACUACGUAUAAUGACCUUGUCUUUUCACAUGACGUUUUAGAAGUACUUUGAGAGGAGUUAAUACGAAGUACAGACUAGGACAUUUUUGUCUCACAACUAGAUGAUGUACCGGACACCUCGUGGUCCAACUCCGAUGUGUAACCGGUACGGGGAUUACGGCAACCACCACCGCACAUAGUCAGUUUUUUAAUGACAUAGAUA